AGCUUUGCGCAGUGGCAGUAUCGUAGCCAAUGAGGUUUAUCCGAGGCGCGAUUAUUGCUAAUUGAAAACCACCAUACCACUGGUGUAUAAUCUUUUUAAUGUGUUGUUGAAUUAAAUUUUCUAGUAUCUCAUUGAAAAUUUUUGCAUCUGUAUCCAUCAGG
ensembl:snRNA U4 U4 spliceosomal RNA